rnacentral:rRNA from 2 species
CAGGACGAACGCUGGCGGCGUGCCUAAUACAUGCAAGUCGAGCGGACAGAUGGGAGCUUGCUCCCUGAUGUUAGCGGCGGACGGGUGAGUAACACGUGGGUAACCUGCCUGUAAGACUGGGAUAACUCCGGGAAACCGGGGCUAAUACCGGAUGCUUGUUUGAACCGCAUGGUUCAGACAUAAAAGGUGGCUUCGGCUACCACUUACAGAUGGACCCGCGGCGCAUUAGCUAGUUGGUGAGGUAACGGCUCACCAAGGCAACGAUGCGUAGCCGACCUGAGAGGGUGAUCGGCCACACUGGGACUGAGACACGGCCCAGACUCCUACGGGAGGCAGCAGUAGGGAAUCUUCCGCAAUGGACGAAAGUCUGACGGAGCAACGCCGCGUGAGUGAUGAAGGUUUUCGGAUCGUAAAGCUCUGUUGUUAGGGAAGAACAAGUGCCGUUCAAAUAGGGCGGCACCUUGACGGUACCUAACCAGAAAGCCACGGCUAACUACGUGCCAGCAGCCGCGGUAAUACGUAGGUGGCAAGCGUUGUCCGGAAUUAUUGGGCGUAAAGGGCUCGCAGGCGGUUUCUUAAGUCUGAUGUGAAAGCCCCCGGCUCAACCGGGGAGGGUCAUUGGAAACUGGGGAACUUGAGUGCAGAAGAGGAGAGUGGAAUUCCACGUGUAGCGGUGAAAUGCGUAGAGAUGUGGAGGAACACCAGUGGCGAAGGCGACUCUCUGGUCUGUAACUGACGCUGAGGAGCGAAAGCGUGGGGAGCGAACAGGAUUAGAUACCCUGGUAGUCCACGCCGUAAACGAUGAGUGCUAAGUGUUAGGGGGUUUCCGCCCCUUAGUGCUGCAGCUAACGCAUUAAGCACUCCGCCUGGGGAGUACGGUCGCAAGACUGAAACUCAAAGGAAUUGACGGGGGCCCGCACAAGCGGUGGAGCAUGUGGUUUAAUUCGAAGCAACGCGAAGAACCUUACCAGGUCUUGACAUCCUCUGACAAUCCUAGAGAUAGGACGUCCCCUUCGGGGGCAGAGUGACAGGUGGUGCAUGGUUGUCGUCAGCUCGUGUCGUGAGAUGUUGGGUUAAGUCCCGCAACGAGCGCAACCCUUGAUCUUAGUUGCCAGCAUUCAGUUGGGCACUCUAAGGUGACUGCCGGUGACAAACCGGAGGAAGGUGGGGAUGACGUCAAAUCAUCAUGCCCCUUAUGACCUGGGCUACACACGUGCUACAAUGGACAGAACAAAGGGCAGCGAAACCGCGAGGUUAAGCCAAUCCCACAAAUCUGUUCUCAGUUCGGAUCGCAGUCUGCAACUCGACUGCGUGAAGCUGGAAUCGCUAGUAAUCGCGGAUCAGCAUGCCGGUGGAAAAACCUUUCCCGGGGCCUUGUACACACCGCCCGUCACACCACGAGAGUUUGUAACACCCGAAGUCGGUGAGGUAACCUUUUAGGAGCCAGCCGCCGAAGGUGGGACAGAUGAUUGGGUG